rnacentral:rRNA from 1 species
UACGUAGGGGCCUAGCGUUGUCCGGAUUUAUUGGGCGUAAAGAGCUCGUAGGCGGUUUGGUGAGUCGGGUGUGAAAUCUCCACGCUCAACGUGGAGGGGCCACCCGAUACUGCCAUGACUAGAGUCCGGUAGGGGAGUGUGGAAUUCCCGGUGUAGCGGUGAAAUGCGCAGAUAUCGGGAGGAACACCAGCGGCGAAGGCGGCGCUCUGGGCCGGAACUGACGCUGAGGAGCGAAAGCGUGGGGAGCAAACAGG